GCGGGGCUGUGGGGCGCGUCAGGAGUACAAUUCCCCGGGGCCUUAACGAUCCUUAGGGAGCUGUCCCUACCCGGUCCGUGGACCGGGAUACACGGCGCCCACCUACUUAUGUAGGUUCCCGGGAUCGCAUCUCCGACGGCUUUUGCGGCUCCGCG
rnacentral:other from 1 species